UACGGGGGGGAGCAAGCGUUUGUUCGGAUUUACUGGGCGUAAAGGGCGCGUAGGCGGCCACCGCAAGUCGGUUGUGAAAUCUCCGGGCUUAACCCGGAAAGGUCAAUCGAUACUGCGGGGCUAGAGUGCAGAAGGGGCAACUGGAAUUCUCGGUGUAGCGGUGAAAUGCGUAGAUAUCGAGAGGAACACCUGCGGCGAAGGCGGGUUGCUGGGCUGACACUGACGCUGAAGCGCGAAAGCUAGGGGAGCGAACGGG
rnacentral:rRNA from 1 species